rnacentral:rRNA from 1 species
UACGGGGGGGGCAAGCGUUGUUCGGAAUUACUGGGCGUAAAGGGCUCGUAGGCGGCCCACUAAGUCCGACGUGAAAUCCCCAGGCUUAACUUGGGAACUGCGUCGGAUACUGGUGGGCUUGAAUCCGGGAGAGGGAUGCGGAAUUCCAGGUGUAGCGGUGAAAUGCGUAGAUAUCAGGAGGAACACCUGUGGUGUAGACGGCUUUCUGGACCAUAGCUGACGCUGAGACACGAAAGCGUGGGUAGCAAACAGG